rnacentral:tmRNA from 1 species
GGGGCCGAUUAGGAUUCGACGCCGGUAACAAAACUCGAGGGGCAUGCCGAGUUGGUAACAGAACUCGUAAAUAAACUGUUGCAAAAAUCCAUAAUUGCCAAUGAUGACAAUUACGGUGCUCAACUAGCUGCGUAAGCAGCCUAGUCGCACUUCUGGUAGCUUCGGCUCCAGCAAUCAUUAGGGGAUGUCUGUAAACCCGAAAUGAUUGUCAUGCAGAACAGAAUCGCCGCGUAGUACGUUGUGGACGAAACGGCUAAACAUUACACAACUCGCCCAAAGCACCCUGCCCGUCGGGCGGCCAAGGGUUAACUCAGUAGACACGGCUAAGCAUGUAGAACCAACAGCGGAGUACUGGCGGACGGGGGUUCAAAUCCCCCCGGCUCCACCA